UGCCAGCCGCCGCGGUAAUACAGAGGUGGCAAGCGUUGUUCGGAAUCACUGGGCAUAAAGGGGGUGUAGGCGGCGCGAAAAGUCAGGUGUGAAAUCCCUCGGCUCACCCGAGGAACUGCGCCUGAAACUCUCGUGCUAGAGUGUAGGAGGGGAGAGUGGAACUCCUGGUGGAGCGGUGAAAUGCGUAGAGAUCAGGAGGAACGCCGGUGGCGAAAGCGACUCUCUGGCCUAUUACUGACGCUGAGGCCCGAAAGCUAGGGGAGCAAACAGGAUUAGAUA
rnacentral:rRNA from 1 species